AAAUAAUCGAUCAGCAGGGAGCUUCGAUCUGCGGGGAAUGCGAACUGCCAGUCCCUAUUCCCGCCCUGAAGGUGGCCAAAAGGCUGACUCCCUCCAAGCAGCCCGCCCGCGCCUCCAUCGCCCCCACCCACGUCCCACUCGCCAGCUGCGGACUGAACCCUCACCCUCAAGGGGGUGUAGCCUCAGGGGUUCUUCGGCAAAGAGGUAACGGGGCUUGGAUUUACCACAACUCUGCGGCCACGUUUUCAAAUUUGGAAAAGAUGAGAAAAGAAGGUUCAGGCGAUUUAUGCGAGAAAGGGCCAAUUUGAACACUGGUAACUAGUGGGAGAAAUAAACUUAUAAGCCACAAACACAUCGGUUCGCAACCGAGCCCACAGCCCCGCGAGGCGCCCCUUCUUCCCAGCUCCCGGAGGAUAACUUCAUUGACUGGCAGGUCGGCGGCCACUUCUGGGAGGGCCACUGUUUACCGAAUGAGAACCUCUCAUGGCACAGUCCUUACAGCAGGGCUGCCCUGUCGCCCUUGCGCGUCCGGGUGCCGGGUCCCGGCGGUGUUCUGCAGCGCGAUCCGGUCCCCGUGCCCUGAGCCACCCAGAGCCCUGGGCCUGCCUGCACCCUGGGGCGCGCUGACUCCCUGGGUCGGGUGGGGGUCCCGGCAGGAUGCACUUCCAGCUGCGGGGUCCGCGGAGUUUGCUCGCACCUGGUUUGGCGCAGGGACGUAGGUUUGGGGGACUGUGUCCCCUGGGAAGAGCAAAAGGUGAAAAGGUCCCCUCUCCCACCAGUGUGCCCCAUCCCCGCCAGUUUUGACUGCGAUCCUAUUUUUCUCUUUGGGGGUCGCCUCAGCCUGUGCCGGAGGGAGUUGGGAGUUGGUCAGGCUUGGGCAGCGGUGGGUGGCAGCCCGGGAGCCGGAGCAGGAGCGCGAGGACCCGCGGACUGGGGCGCAGCGACGAUGGCGCACCGGCUUCUGUCUUCUGCUGCUUUGGGGCUGAGCAUCCGAGGGCGCCUUUCUCCCCAGCUGGACUCGGGGACGCCGGAUCACCCCGCCACCUGCCUCUUGGCCUAAUUCUGGAAGCUUCUCGCCUCCGUUCCUGGACGGCUCUUCCUCAGGGGCAGCAAUGAGCCCCGGGGUGCGCUCAUCUCCUCCGAGAUCAAUUGCUCUACGAUUCCUUUUAGGACUUGCAGGGGGGAGAGGUUGGGGACCCCGGCCCCAGAGUGGCUCCUGCGGCACGGCGGCCCACUCGGAGGGGUCGCAACAAGCGCGCAUUUGUGGCCAAGGUUGUGAUUUCAGGUGCGCUAAUGGGAUCAGACGUCCUGGGAGAAGCGUGAGGGGAUUGGUGCCGUUCCUUCUCCCGGCUUCCAGCGGCCGCCGGGUGGAAGUGGGGACACAGGAGGGCCGCGCUACGGGCGCCCAGCGCGGGCGCUCACACCUCUUGAGGAGGCGUGGAACCCAGCGCCCCAGGUGGGGGUAGGGCGCGGGGGUAUAGGUAGUGAGGGGUGACGCUGGGAGAGGACCGGGAGACGGAGGAAAGGAGACAGCCGGGGACACUACUGAGAGAGGGAGUAAGAGAGUGCGCUGCAGAACCGGGGACAGAGCGGCAGAACCGACCGAGAGCUGGAAUUGGAUUGCGUCCUGUCCCAGCACCAGGACACAGAUAAACAGCCUCCCAGCACUGGUACUCGCCAGAGAAGGGGAAACCCGCGUCCCGCGCUGCUGCUUUCUGCUUCGGAGAACCUUAUCUAGACUUUUGCAUAAUUGCGUGUUGGCUUUCCUAAAUAAUUCGGAAGAGCGAUUUCUGCUUCCACUUGUUCACAUAGGCAAACAAUCCCUGUGGGGAAAAUGUGUGUGUGUGUGUGUGUGUGUGCGCGCGCGCGCGCGCGCGUUCCGGUGACAAUUGAGGCCAGAGGCAAACACAUCCUCUUUCAAAAUGUCCCUUAGGUGAUCCCGUAAAUGACUGUCCUGCUCUAGGCAGUGGGAGUCAUCAUCCACUGGGUAGGGGGCUGUGAUUACUCUGCCUAGGGACCACUUUUCACAGCUCCUUCCCCACCGUAGAUAAGGGUGUUAAAUCAAGGCAUUUAGUUCUACUUUUCCAUUGCACAGAUAAGCAAGCUGAGACCCAGAUAGGUUAAGUGAAGUAUCCAAUUUCUUCUCUCCUUUUCUUUUCUGUAUGCCUCAAGAUGGUUUUAUACACACACACACACACACACAUACAUACACACACACACACACCCUGAACUACGAAAAACAUCACAACUACGGAAGAAACAUUUUUUACUCUUCUUAUUUCCUAAGAAGACCAAAAGUCAGAGCUUGUCUUCUGUCAGAAGCAGAUGGGUGUGUGAUGGCAGUGUGUGAGUGUGCAAGUGUGGGGGGGCUGGGCGUUGGCGCCAUCCUUCCUCCUUCCCUGCUCCAUCCCUGACUCCAUCACCGAGCCCCUUCAGGGAAACACAAGGCAGGAGGUUGUACCGCUAUGCAGAAGACCCCUCCAGGUAGGGAGCUUGAAGAAAUGAAACAGCAGGGAGAACCUGUAUUUGGUGGUGAAAGUGCUGGAAUCUUCUAGGCCUUGCUCAUCUCCAACCAGCUACUUCUCCAAAAUAAAGCAAAACAAAACAAAACAAAACAAGGCAAACAACAACCACCACAGGCCUUUUGCAUCAACUUCCUGUGACUAAGUGACCCUAAGCAGAGAACUGGCUCAGGUCACUUAGGGCAGGGGUAGGACAUUGAAGGCCUUAUUUACUCCAGGAUUAAAAACAGCAUCCCCUCUAACCCUGUCUCUCUUGGGCAGCCUGUCUUUUAAGGAUGUGAAAAGCAGCUUCUUGGAGUCUAAACAGGCACAAUACCCCACUGGGAUGUUUAGGUAUCAGGUUCACAAAAACAGCAUUUUACUCCUGCUUCCCCGAACCCCUUUGCAACCCAGGCUACCAUACUCUUUGCAAGAAUAUCCGGUAUCUUUUCCGGGCAAAAUGAAUUGAGUUGGCACUUCCUGAAAUAUUUUUAUUUUUAGCUUCAAAUAAUUUUGCUCCUAAAACAAAUUAGUUACUUAUCCUCUUCUCACCAUGCCCUAAUUAUUUUUAGCUUUAUUCUAAUUUUUUUUGUUACCUUGAAUUUUGUCUUGAUUUGAGAGUUUGGUAUAGAAUACUUGUUUGCAGACUGGUAAUCUGCAGUUUAUUUUGUUUUUAAAAAACUCUGUGAAGUUUACUGUUGUUUUAAAACUCAUGGAAUAUUAACAAAAAAUAACCUAAUAAUAUUCUUCGAGGCUUAAACUUUGGUUAUAGUCUAUGUCCUAGCCUAGCUUUUAUGAUAAGCCUGUUGCAUUUUAAAGGUGCUUAUUGAUUCACAUGUCUUUCAGUAAAAAAUCUUUUGAGGAACCCAGACUUUUGAAAGCUAUUUAAUUUGCAUGUAUUUGGUCAUUACAGGCUAAAACUGAAGAAUGAGUUUGGAAAUUGGUUCUAUUAGAAAACACUGUUUGCACAUCCAAAUGUUCCCAGUCAAGAUUUCCCAAUAGUGGCAGUGAGAAAGAGAGGCAGAGAGAAUUAGGAUACUUGGGUUCAAAUUUUAGCUUAGUCACUGAUGGGCUGAUUGAGUGAGAAGAACUUAAUCACCUGCAAAAUGAAUUGCUUACAGUAUUUUGAUCUCUAAAUACACUUUUGAUUCUGAUAUUUAAUGAUUUUGUAUUACAAAAUUGGGCAGAAAACGCAUAGCUUCAUAACAAGCAAAAAAUUUUACUGUUAACACAUCAUACUUAUUUUAGAGUAAAUUUGAAGGAGGUUGAUGUUUUGGAAUUUGGUUGGAGAGUUAUCCAAAAGCAAUGUUUCCCUGACUCAACUACAACCAAUUACACACAGUGGCCAGUAGGAAAAGGAUUAAGUUGUCCAGACAAAAUAUAAUGGUAACAAAAAAUAAUCUUGUGCUUUUGACAUCUUUCUGUUUACUUGUUUUUGUCUUGUUCUAAUGCCCCCUGAAUUACUAUUUUCUAAAAAACAGUCUCAUCUAAAAUAAAACAUAGUAAUGUGUUUUCAAAUGAGACAUUUUAUUGUAGUUACGAUUUCUUUUGUAUAUUUUCCUAAUGCAGACUACAAUAAAUACACUAAAAUAUUUCAAAAAAAAAAAAAAAAAA
rnacentral:lncRNA from 1 species